rnacentral:rRNA from 1 species
AUGAACGCUAGCGACAGGCUUAACACAUGCAAGUCGAGGGGCAGCACAGGUAGCAAUACCGGGUGGCGACCGGCGCACGGGUGAGUAACGCGUAUGCAACUUGCCUAUCAGAGGGGGAUAACCCGGCGAAAGUCGGACUAAUACCGCAUGAAGCAGGGGCCCCGCAUGGGGAUAUUUGCUAAAGAUUCAUCGCUGAUAGAUAGGCAUGCGUUCCAUUAGGCAGUUGGCGGGGUAACGGCCCACCAAACCGACGAUGGAUAGGGGUUCUGAGAGGAAGGUCCCCCACAUUGGUACUGAGACACGGACCAAACUCCUACGGGAGGCAGCAGUGAGGAAUAUUGGUCAAUGGCCGAGAGGCUGAACCAGCCAAGUCGCGUGAGGGAUGAAGGUUCUAUGGAUCGUAAACCUCUUUUAUAAGGGAAUAAAGUGCGGGACGUGUCCCGUUUUGUAUGUACCUUAUGAAUAAGGAUCGGCUAACUCCGUGCCAGCAGCCGCGGUAAUACGGAGGAUCCGAGCGUUAUCCGGAUUUAUUGGGUUUAAAGGGUGCGUAGGCGGCCUUUUAAGUCAGCGGUGAAAGUCUGUGGCUCAACCAUAGAAUUGCCGUUGAAACUGGGGGGCUUGAGUAUGUUUGAGGCAGGCGGAAUGCGUGGUGUAGCGGUGAAAUGCAUAGAUAUCACGCAGAACCCCGAUUGCGAAGGCAGCCUGCCAAGCCAUUACUGACGCUGAUGCACGAAAGCGUGGGGAUCAAACAGGAUUAGAUACCCUGGUAGUCCACGCAGUAAACGAUGAUCACUAGCUGUUUGCGAUACACUGUAAGCGGCACAGCGAAAGCGUUAAGUGAUCCACCUGGGGAGUACGCCGGCAACGGUGAAACUCAAAGGAAUUGACGGGGGCCCGCACAAGCGGUGGAGUAUGUGGUUUAAUUCGACGCAACGCGAAGAACCUUACCAGGUCUUGACAUUGAUCGCCAUUCACAGAAAUGUGAAGUUCUCCUUCGGGAGACGAGAAAACAGGUGGUGCACGGCUGUCGUCAGCUCGUGUCGUGAGAUGUUGGGUUAAGUCCCGCAACGAGCGCAACCCCUGUUUCUAGUUGCCAGCAUGUAAAGAUGGGAACUCUAGAAAGACUGCCGUAGAUAAUACGGAGGAAGGUGGGGAUGACGUCAAAUCAUCAUGCCCUUUAUGUCCUGGGCUACACACGUACUACAAUGGCUGUAACAGAGGGAAGCGAACCAGUGAUGGUAAGCGAAACCCCAAACCACGUCUCAGUUCGGAUCGGAGUCUGCAACCCGACUCCGUGAAGCUGGAUUCGCUAGUAAUCGCGCAUCAGCCAUGGCGCGGUGAAUACGUUCCCGGGCCUUGUACACACCGCCCGUCAAGCCAUGGGAGCCGGGGGUACCUGAAGUCCGUAACCGCGAGGAUCGGCCUAGGGUAAAACUGGUGACUGGGGCU